UAGGGAAUCUUCGGCAAUGGGGGGAACCCUGACCGAGCAACGCCGCGUGAGUGAAGAAGGUAUUCGGAUCGUAAAGCUCUGUUGUUAAGGAAGAACGAGUGUGAGAAUGGAAAGUUCAUACUGUGACGGUACUUAACCAGAAAGGGACGGCUAACUACGUGCCAGCAGCCGCGGUAAUACGUAGGUCCCGAGCGUUGUCCGGAUUUAUUGGGCGUAAAGCGAGCGCAGGCGGUUAGAUAAGUCUGAAGUUAAAGGCAGUGGCUCAACCAUUGUAGGCUUUGGAAACUGUUUAACUUGAGUGCAGAAGGGGAGAGUGGAAUUCCAUGUGUAGCGGUGAAAUGCGUAGAUAUAUGGAGGAACACCGGUGGCGAAAGCGGCUCUCUGGUCUGUAACUGACGCUGAGGCUCGAAAGCGUGGGGAGCGAACAGG
rnacentral:rRNA from 1 species